rnacentral:lncRNA from 1 species
ACUGGAAAGCAAUUAAAAUUAAAAUAAAAAGAAGACAAAGAUGGAAGUGGAUAACCUUACAAAUCUGCGAUCAAUUAUGGAAAAAGGAGGUAGUAGAUCAAAUGUAGAAAAAUGAAUAGUAAAGGCACAAUAUGUAUAUAGGGUGCGAAAUCUUAGAGACAGGAAAAAGCAAUUGUCGAAAAAUUACAAAAUUUUAUAUAUGUGUCAUUAAGAAAAAUCCUAAAAAUAUACUGACUUGAUGAAAUAACAAAAGUAAAUAUAUGAAGAAGAACAAAACAAGAGAAAGUAACAGUCACGACUAAAAGAAGGAAAUGGACAUGGAAACAUAGAGUGAGAAAUAUAGGAAUGGAAAUUACUUGUAUAGGAAAUUUCGAAAGAAUAAAACAGAAGAAGAUAGAGAUAAAGGUCCAGGUAAUCAGCCAUCUUUCACUUCUGGUUAAGAGACACAAGACUCUCAACACUCUGUAAUAAGGGAAGGAAAGGAAGAAGAUUUCUGUUCGCUUUAAAAUACCAUGUAUAUUAAAUUUUAUAUUUC